UGGGGAAUAUUGGACAAUGGGCGAAAGCCUGAUCCAGCCAUGCCGCGUGUGUGAAGAAGGUCUUCGGAUUGUAAAGCACUUUAAGUUGGGAGGAAGGGCAUUAACCUAAUACGUUAGUGUUUUGACGUUACCGACAGAAUAAGCACCGGCUAACUCUGUGCCAGCAGCCGCGGUAAUACAGAGGGUGCAAGCGUUAAUCGGAAUUACUGGGCGUAAAGCGCGCGUAGGUGGUUUGUUAAGUUGGAUGUGAAAUCCCCGGGCUCAACCUGGGAACUGCAUUCAAAACUGACUGACUAGAGUAUGGUAGAGGGUGGUGGAAUUUCCUGUGUAGCGGUGAAAUGCGUAGAUAUAGGAAGGAACACCAGUGGAGAAGGCGACCACCUGGACGAAUACUGACACUGAGGUGCGAAAGCGUGGGGAGCAAACA
rnacentral:rRNA from 1 species